CAGUAGCCGCGGUAAUACGGAGGGUGCAAGCGUUAAUCGGAAUUACUGGGCGUAAAGCGCACGCAGGCGGUCUGUCAAGUCAGAUGUGAAAUCCCCGGGCUUAACCUGGGAACUGCAUUUGAAACUGGCAGGCUAGAGUCUUGUAGAGGGGGGUAGAAUUCCAGGUGUAGCGGUGAAAUGCGUAGAGAUCUGGAGGAAUACCGGUGGCGAAGGCGGCCCCCUGGACAAAGACUGACGCUCAGGUGCGAAAGCGUGGGGAGCAAACAGGAUUAGAUACCCCUGUAGUCCCUGUCUCUUAUAA
rnacentral:rRNA from 1 species